rnacentral:lncRNA from 10 species
CUUGGCCUCCCAAAAUGCUGGGAUUACAGGAGAAAGCCACAGUGCCUGGUCUGGUAUGUGCAUUUUCUGACUUACUCCUCACCAUCGUUAUUUUGAUGCUUCUAGUAUAGUUCCUACAUAGGUUUCUGUAUCGUUAAUCUUAUCAAUCUAUAUAUAACAUGCACUGUGUAGGCAAGCUUCUCUCUUCAUCUUUAUAAAUCCCCUAGUGAUGCUCCCCUUCCCACUAAUCUCCUUCAAUUGAGAUUCAACUGCACAGGCCAGCCCCUGUCAGAUCUGCUGUGCUAAUACCACUGGGAAUAUUUGUUUUGUGUGCUUUUUUCUCUUUCCAUGGAUUAGGUACACUUUCAUCAUUUUCAAAGGAAGACCUGAAUAGCAAUGAACUCAUUGGUCAAGAGCAGUGGAGUUUUGGCAUGGAAUACCCUGUACCCUGGACCCACCACGAUGGAGUAAUGUGGAGACUCAAGGCUGAUUCUUAGCCAGGCCAGUGGCUUCAGAAAGGGCCAGGAGCCUGCAGUUACACAGCUCCAUCUUUCUGCCCCUCCCUCCACCCCCUGCCUUUUAUUUCUUAUUUGUUACAGCCUUUCAUGAGGAACAACAGUCAGUAACACAAACAUUAUAUUCAUCUCUGCUCAUUCUCCCCUCCAGGGACCAAACAAGUUUUUUUUUCUGGGCAUUGAAAAUACGUCUCACCCCAGCUUUUAAAUAGGCUCAAUGUUAGA